UCGGGAUCUUCUGCAGCUCUGCUGCUCCUCUCCUGGGGCCUGGCUGGCAGUGGAAGAGGAGGGAGGAGCUGCUGGAGGCUGCAAUUCAUCAAGGCAUCUUCCGGACGAUCGGAUCUCCUACAUGAAUAGUGAAUACCGACUUAAGACGCCAUCUGCCUCAGAGGAUACAGUUCUUCAGAGGUUCCAUAUUGUGAGAAACCAUCAUACAGAUUUCCAGGAUCCAGGUCAAGCAACACAUAUAACGUUUAUCAGAUCAUCAAAUAUCUUCCUCCUUCCAAUACCCAAAGUAGGGCCAGAUUUCCAGGAUCCAGGUCAAGCAACACAUAUAACG